rnacentral:rRNA from 1 species
UAAAGAAAGCGUAAUAGCUCACUGGUCGAGUCGGCCUGCGCGGAAGAUGUAACGGGGCUAAACCAUGCACCGAAGCUGCGGCAGCGACACUGUGUGUUGUUGGGUAGGGGAGCGUUCUGUAAGCCUGCGAAGGUGGCCUGUGAGGGUUGCUGGAGGUAUCAGAAGUGCGAAUGCUGACAUAAGUAACGAUAAAGCGGAUGAAAAGCCCGCUCGCCGGAAGAC